GUGGGGAAUCUUGCGCAAUGGGCGAAAGCCUGACGCAGCAACGCCGCGUGGGGGAUGAAGGCUCUCGGGUUGUAAACCCCUUUCAGCAGGGACGAAAUUGACGGUACCUGCAGAAGAAGCCCCGGCUAACUACGUGCCAGCAGCCGCGGUAACACGUAGGGGGCAAGCGUUGUCCGGAUUUAUUGGGCGUAAAGAGCUCGUAGGUGGCUAAGUAAGUCGGGUGUCAAAUCCCCAGGCUCAACCUGGGUCUCCACUCGAUACUGCUUUGGCUAGAGUCCGGUAGGGGAGCGUGGAAUUCCUGGUGUAGCGGUGAAAUGCGCAGAUAUCAGGAGGAACACCAGCGGCGAAGGCGGCGCUCUGGGCCGGUACUGACACUGAGGAGCGAAAGCGUGGGUAGCAAACAGGAUUAGAAACCCUAGUAGUCC
rnacentral:rRNA from 1 species